rnacentral:rRNA from 1 species
UACGAACUGUGCAAACGUUAUUCGGAAUCACUGGGCUUAAAGGGUGCGUAGGCGGCUCGUUAAGUAGGGUGUGAAAGCCCCCGGCUCAACCGGGGAAUGGCGCCCUAAACUGGCGGGCUGGAGUGAGAUAGGGGUGUGCGGAACUUCCAGUGGAGCGGUGAAAUGUGUUGAUAUUGGAAGGAACGCCUGUGGCGAAAGCGGCACACUGGGUCUCAACUGACGCUGAGGCACGAAAGCCAGGGGAGCAAACGGG